ensembl:lncRNA
AUCUGAUGUAUGUUUCCGAAUGUGUACUCUGUGAUCUAUAGUUUUUCUGUAAAAAUUAGAAAAAUUGUCAUUUACUUCUUAGAGGCAUCUUAAGUCCUUAAAAAAAAAAAAAGGCCAGCAUCAUCUGUUGUGGAUGAUAAGUGGACCAUGUGGACCAUGUGUAUAUUACAAAGACACUACAUUUGUAUUAUCAGGAAGUUAACUGUCUCUCCGCCAAAGGACAGCUAUAGUCCAUGUGUUCGGUUACAUGUUUUCUCAUUAACCAUGAUAUUUCCUACGUUUCUUGUUUUCUUUUGAGGAUUUUUGCUUUAAGCGACAUGGCAAUAGCAUACAUAUUUGCAAUAACAAUGCUUCAUUAGAGAAUGUAAGAAUUUCUCCCUUCAUCAAAGAUACACUUGCCAUUGCAAUAUAACAACAGUUUACAAUUGGAUAAUAUAUGCAUCAUAUUGUACAAGUGCAGUAUUUCAACUCAUAAUUCAACACAUUGUAGGAAACAAAUUCACCAAUAUGAUCACAAACCUCUGAAUGUGUUUGUAUAUUUUAAUAGGUCGCCAUAACUCCAGUAAAUAAUGUACUACUAAACUACUGCACAUUUAUAAUAAGCCACUUAAGCUAAUGACAUGUGAAGACCAGUUCAGUUCAUUUUACUUCAUGAGACAUAAUGUGUCGCAUUCCUUUAUCUUGAUUCAACUUAUUUAAACACUAUUUUAUGUGCAAACCGAUGGCUCAAUUUUAUUUUUAUUUUUGCAACAAGUAUUAUCAGAAACAUUGUUUUGUUAUAAUUAAUUAUUGCUUUGUAUUUAUCCUUAGAAAUCUUUACUAAAAGGGCCUAAACAUUUUUUAUUUCUUUUUUUGGGGCUCAUAAGGGGUUUAAAAUACAUUUAUGUAUAUCAGUGCUUUGUUUUGAGUUGCUGUGCAACUCAGAGUUAGAGAAUUAGCAUUAAACUGUUAAGGAUGUCUGAAAAACUACUGCUGUUACUGUCCAGUAUGCAGUCCCCUUGUAUCUACAGGGAGGACUGUAUAUUGAUACAUUUUGUACUCAAUAAGCAGCACCAGUAAUGGACCGACCUGUAUGUAAAUGUAUUAAAUAUAUAUAUAUAUAUUAUUAGUUCAUCUGUAAUGUAUAUUUGCUCUUCACGCCUGUUUAUUUGGAAAUAAA